rnacentral:rRNA from 1 species
UACGGAGGGUGCAAGCGUUGCUCGGAAUUAUUGGGCGUAAAGGGUAGGUAGGUGGUCUCAUUUGUCUGGGGUGAAAGCCUUGAGCUUAACUCAAGAAGUGCCCCAGAAACGGUGAGACUAGAGUCCUGGAGAGGGUCGUGGAAUUCCCGGUGUAGCGGUGAAAUGCGUAGAGAUCGGGAGGAACACCAAUGGCGAAGGCAGCUCGCUGGGACGGUACUGACGCUGAGACGCGAAAGCGUGGGGAGCGAACAGG